UUAAGUCCCGCAACGAGCGCAACCCUUGUCCUUAGUUACCAUCAUUCAGUUGGGGGACUCUAAGGAGACUGCCGAUGUAAAUCGGAGGAAGGUGGGGGAUGACGUCAAAUCAUCAUGCCCUUUAUGUCCUGGGCGACACACGUGCUACAAUGGCCGGUACAAAGAGACGCCAACCAGCGAUGGUGCGCAAAUCUCAAAAAGCCGGUCUCAGUUCAGAUCGAAGUCUGCAACUCGACUUCGUGAAGGCGGAAUUGCUAGUAAUCGCGAAUCAGCCAUGUCGCGGUGAAUACGUUCCCGGGGUUU
rnacentral:rRNA from 1 species